rnacentral:lncRNA from 1 species
AUGUAAAAAAUAGAGAGGAGGAUCCUCUCUCUUGGGGCAUGUGCAAAAAUCUGAAUUUUAGAUUUUUGGUUCUAAAGAUUUGGGAAGAGAGAAUAAAUUAGAAAAAAAUAUUUUUUUCUCUAUCUUUCUUCUACCUCUUAAUCUUCUCCAUAAGUCCAUCUUCAAUCUCUAAAAGGAUUUUAAAGAUUUAAAAAAAGAAUCCAGAUCAGUCAAGAAGAAGAUUUUCGUACGAGCUAGCACUCUCGAGAAGAUCGAUCAGAUAAAAGCUUCGAGUAGAUUUUUCAUAGAGGUCGGACAUGUGUGCGAUUGUAAGCAACCAACAAGGAUCCUCUCUACUAUGUCUCUCAGU